CCUUGUACUGGGGGACAACAGUUGGAAACGACUGCUAAUACCGCAUAAGCGCACAGCUUCGCAUGAAGCAGUGUGAAAAACUCCGGUGGUACAAGAUGGACCCGCGUCUGAUUAGCUGGUUGGUGAGGUAACGGCCCACCAAGGCGACGAUCAGUAGCCGGCCUGAGAGGGUGAACGGCCACAUUGGGACUGAGACACGGCCCAAACUCCUACGGGAGGCAGCAGUGGGGAAUAUUGCACAAUGGGGGAAACCCUGAUGCAGCAACGCCGCGUGAGUGAAGAAGUAUUUCGGUAUGUAAAGCUCUAUCAGCAGGAAAGAAAAUGACGGUACCUGACUAAGAAGCCCCGGCUAACUACGUGCCAGCAGCCGCGGUAAUACGUAGGGGGCAAGCGUUAUCCGGAUUUACUGGGUGUAAAGGGAGCGUAGACGGUUUUGCAAGUCUGAAGUGAAAGCCCGGGGCUUAACCCCGGGACUGCUUUGGAAACUGUAGAACUAGAGUGCAGGAGAGGUAAGUGGAAUUCCUAGUGUAGCGGUGAAAUGCGUAGAUAUUAGGAGGAACACCAGUGGCGAAGGCGGCUUACUGGACUGUAACUGACGUUGAGGCUCGAAAGCGUGGGGAGCAAACAGGAUUAGAUACCCUGGUAGUCCACGCCGUAAACGAUGAUUACUAGGUGUUGGUGGGUACGACCCAUCGGUG
rnacentral:rRNA from 1 species